rnacentral:piRNA from 1 species
UGUUAACUACUUUACCUUAGG